rnacentral:lncRNA from 8 species
CCUGUCCGAAGUGGUUAUUUUAGUCCCACUCUACAGACCUGCACUCUCCCUAGUCCCUCCCUCGAGGGGGACGUGAAGUGGCCAGCAGAGUUAUCAGAGUAUUAGCCUGGCACUAUUAUCUCAUUACCAUGCCCCACUUUACCAAUCUGUAUUAAAACCCUCUUUGACAAACUGAGCUGAGUGAGCCUGGCCACCAUGCUUCAGGGCAUUACAGAUGACCGAGGUUAUACCCAGGAUUCCCAUUGUUCUUUGACUUCUCAUACAGAUGUAGGAUCUUAAUUUGAUCACUCUUUUGUUGCUGAGUAUUUUCCUGCAGCAGGAAAUACAACCUUGCCCUAACAAAAAAUGUAUCAACCCCUACAAUAAAUGUCAAUUCAUUAUAAUUCACAUAAUAAUUCACAUUUCCUGUUGCUCCAGGAUUAUUUUCCUGCUGUAGCAAACUGGCUCAAAUUACAUUUGUAUAGGUCAGUGGCUCUAGUUUAGCUGGCUAAUAAUGCCGUUUACUUAACAUUGCUGUGUUGCUCUUGUACAGGGAUGAACUGAACUGGCAGAACAGUGCGUAAACUGAUUGAUGACCCUUGACCCUGAUCUACUUCCUGCUUCUCUUCUCCAAGAUACUGUUGGGGUUAGAGGCAGAUCCACUGUCAAGGGUCAGACAGACCCUGAGGCACACUGACAAACCAAGCAGUGAGUGGAGUCCAUACACUCACCCUCCUGGUGUGUCCACUUCUGAUCGUGAUUACAGCCCUUCAUGUGAACUCUGUUUGUUACAGUGCAUUGUCGACAGGAUAGAGCACUUACUGAAUUACCCUACUGUGGUGUGGGGCUAUUCAGUGCUGUGUUGUCAGAGGUUGGGUUCUAAUAGAAAGUGUUUGCUUACUAAAAAGGUGAGUAGUUCAAGAGUUCCAUCUAGUGGUUGUUUGAUGCUACUACAUGAUCUGUUGAUGUGUCCACUGUUACCACAGCCAGAGGACUGCAAAGGCUUGGCAGUUUGAACUAUACAGGAGGUUUACAUACUGUUUUAAUUGUUUUUUCAGAUCACUGGAUCCACCAAGUACACCCAGAGCGCUCUGCAGGUAUAAACCAGGUGGGUGACCCGUUUUGUAAUUGUGAUUUCGUUUUCAGGCCCAGGGCCGGCCCGCUCUUUAGGCAGGAUUAGGCGGAUGCCUAUGGCAGGAUUUUCUGAGUUAAACUGACCAGGAUGCACCUCCAUCAACACAUAAUUCUACCCCCAAAACAAUGACAAUUCCUCUCAACCAGUGACAUUUGGUCUUUUUGGGUGAGCGCUGACGCCGCCCUGUGAUAAGCAGUGCCCGCUUCGUCAAAGUCAGGGAGGCAAAAUAUUUAUCUUGUCCAUUCCCAGCGCGAAUCUCCAGGGUGCUGUUGUAGAGAUGCAUCGCUGUUGCGCUCCACCAACGUUCCAUCAACAAAAACAUUUAACAUAGAUCAUGUAGCAAAUAAAGCAAAGAGUAUGUGGCCUUUUCUGUAGCCUACAGGCCGGAGAUAAAAUGGAUGACAAUGUAAUGAGACGGAAACGUUUGCAUCAUGUAGGUUUCUCAGAUCAAAUUGCCUAACCUAAAUGGCACCCAGUCAAAUAAAAAAAAUGCGAUGACGUGUUAACAAACAGUAUAUCCUAAAAACAGGACAGGUCAAAGUAAAAUGGACAAUCAGGCUACUCACAACUACCGUUCAGGAGUUUGUUCCCAUGGGCUUAAUUGUCAUGAUCAGUGGUUUCAAGUUUGUAUCCGUACAUUUUUUACGAUCAUAGCGAAAAAAGAAACGUUUCCAUUUCCCGCUGUGUAAACACAUUGCAAAUAGGUUAAUGUAGCUGAUUUUCAGAGCUUUAAUAACCAAAUAGAUUAGGUCACAGGAAUCAGGACUAAUAAAGCCAAGGCAACGGCCUGUUUUACAAACGAUGGGCCUACCAUACGGAUGGGCAUUCAUAAAAGUCCAUUGUGG